rnacentral:rRNA from 1 species
UGCAAGUCGAACGGUAACAGGUAGCAAUACGCUGACGAGUGGCGUACGGGUGCGUAACGCGUACACAAUCUGCCUUAUACUGGGGCAUACCCUUUGGAAACGAAGAAUAAUUCCCCAUAGUAUAUAGAGAAGGCAUCUUCUUUAUAUUAAAACUCCGGUGGUAUAAGAUGAGUGUGCGUCCGAUUAGAUAGUUGGUGAGGUAACGGCUCACCAAGUCUACGAUCGGUAGCUGGUCUGAGAGGAUGAUCAGCCACACGGGCACUGAGACACGGGCCCGACUCCUACGGGAGGCAGCAGUAGGGAAUAUUGGACAAUGGGCGAAAGCCUGAUCCAGCCAUCCCGCGUGAAGGAUUAAGGUCCUAUGGAUUGUAAACUUCUUUUCUCUGGAAAUAAAAACUGGGGUUCUCCUCAGUCUGAAGGUACCAGAGGAAUAAGCACCGGCUAACUCCGUGCCAGCAGCCGCGGUAAUACGGAGGGUGCAAGCGUUAUCCGGAUUCACUGGGUUUAAAGGGAGCGUAGGUGGCUUUGUAAGUCAGUGGUGAAAGCUCGGAGCUUAACUCCGGAACUGCCAUUGAUACUGCUUAGCUCGAAUCGGUUCGAGGCGGAUGGAAUGUGACAUGUAGCGGUGAAAUGCUUAGAUAUGUUACAGAACACCAAUUGCGAAGGCAGUUCGCCAGACCCGUAUUGACACUGAGGCUCG